GCAAGUCGACUGGAAUUCACUUUCGGGUGAUAGUACGGUGGCGGACGGGUGAGUAACGCGUAAAGAACUUGCCUUCUAGCCUGGGACAACUGUUUGAAAAGACAGCUAAUACCGGAUAUUAUGCAACCUUCGCAUGAAGGGUGUAUGAAAGCUAUAUGCGCUAGAAGAGAGCUUUGCGUACCAUUAGGUAGUUGGUGGGGUAAUGGCCCACCAAGCCUACGAUGGUUAGCCGGCCUGAGAGGGUGAAC
rnacentral:rRNA from 1 species